rnacentral:tRNA from 1 species
GAUGUACUAGUAGCUCAGUUCAGAGCGCCGGCUUUGUAACCCGGAAGUCGAGGGUUAAAGUCCCUCCUACUACC